UCUACAGAGUGAAUUCCAGGACAGCCAGGGAUAUUACACAGAGAAACCCUGUCUUGAAAAACAAAACAACAACAACAACAACAAUAAAGUGGAUAGCUUCUGAGAGUUGACAUUUGCACCUGACCUCUGACCUCUAUAUACCUCCUGGCUAGUGGCAUGUGGAAUGCACUCUGUAGCUAUGAAAUGGUCCCACCAAUACCACCAUUACUGCUCCAUCGGAAUCAAAUCCUUCAUACCCACCAGGGUUGUGUGCCCUCUUUUCUGCCUGAUGUCAUUCUGGGACAUAGCUGGGACACCCUGAUGUCAUAAGGUGGAAGAUGAAAAGUGGAUUCCUGAGUUCUUCCAGAUUGCUAGUUGCUAAGCUAUAAAGUUCCAGGUUCUGAAGCCUUGCUGCUCAUUGGUGGAGAGUUCCUGGGCUGUUCCAAUCAGGAGGCUGCAGAGAAAGGCAUUCA